rnacentral:rRNA from 1 species
GGUGAACGCUGGCGGUAGGCCUAACACAUGCAAGUCGAACGGCAGCACAGAGGAGCUUGCUCCUUGGGUGGCGAGUGGCGGACGGGUGAGGAAUACAUCGGAAUCUACUCUGUCGUGGGGGAUAACGUAGGGAAACUUACGCUAAUACCGCAUACGACCUACGGGUGAAAGCAGGGGACCUUCGGGCCUUGCGCGAUUGAAUGAGCCGAUGUCGGAGUAGCUAGUUGGCGGGGUAAAGGCCCACCAAGGCGACGAUCCGUAGCUGGUCUGGGAGGAUGAUCAGCCACACUGGAACGGAGACACGGUCCAGACUCCUACGGGAGGCAGCAGUGGGGAAUAUUGGACAAUGGGCGCAAGCCUGAUCCAGCCAUACCGCGUGGGUGAAGAAGGCCUUCGGGUUGUAAAGCCCUUUUGUUGGGAAAGAAAUCCAGCUGGCUAAUACCCGGUUGGGAUGACGGUACCCAAAGAAUAAGCACCGGCUAACUUCGUGCCAGCCGCCGCCGUAA